GACGUAGGGGGCCAGCGUUGUUCGGAAUUACUGGGCGUAAAGGGUUCGUAGGCGGUGUGGCAAGUCGGGAGUGAAAUUUCUGGGCUCAACUCAGAGACUGCUUCCGAAACUGCUGUGCUUGAGUGUGGGAGAGGCGCGUGGAAUUGCAGGUGUAGCGGUGAAAUGCGUAGAUAUCUGCAGGAACACCCGUGGCGAAAGCGGCGCGCUGGACCACUACUGACGCUGAGGAACGAAAGCUAGGGGAGCAAACAGG
rnacentral:rRNA from 1 species